CGCUCAUAAAAUUGGAGCAGCUCGCGGUUGCGCCAAUUUUAAGCAAAGUAGCAAACCCUAAUCCAACGGUUAUAUCAUAGCCGCCGACCUUCGCGGUGCGGUUUCUGCUGCUUCGUUGAGUGGGUUUAGUCCCGUGGUUCCAUCAUAUCGGUCUGGUUCGCUCUACUCUGAACGUCAUCUUCUUCUGCUCGGAGAUGGCCAGAGAGAUGCUGAAGGAGCACGGCGAGCAAUUGGCCGACCGGCACAAUAGCCGAUCCGCGGCCAAGUUUAGCAGAGACAGCAAAGAUCGGCGAUUAUGGGCCUCACUAGAUGAAGGUGAGGAAGGUCUUCACGCUCGAUCUUUUCUCUCCUAAGCGCCUUGAAGCGUUGAGACCCAUUCGAGAGGACGAGAUCACCGCCAUGGUUGACUCCGUCUUCAAGUGAAAUCGCUAGAACCGAUGCAUUAUGAUCCGCUACAAAAGUCGAUCUGGUAGCUUCCUCCGGGUACUCAACAACUAGAGUUGUAAUUGGGCUGGAUUUUGUUCCUUCAUACGCAAAAUCAUCUUUAUUUCAGCAACCAAUUGAGGAAGAUAGUGAUGAGGACUGAGGAGCUGGUAUAUGCUGACAGUACUUGUGAGAGAAAAAUAAGGGCCAGGGACCUUUUUUUCACUUCUGUUAAUAAAAGGUGAAAAAUAUGAGUUAGCUUGUAUUUACUGUAAAAGGCAAGUUUAUCCAUUUUCCACCUUUAAGCGUGUGGCCUAAUUGACGUAGUUUCACUACUUGUGACAUGGCCGAUUGGUUUGAGGGGAUGGUGGAAAAGAGCGAAUGCAUGGUUUGAGAGAAGAGGUACUGUUGUAGAUUGGUGAGGUUGUUCUGUCUUGUUGGCUGUUGAUGUUAUGUGUUUUCCUUGUUUGACAGGGACAUGACUGGGUUGAAGCUCAACAAUAUUGUGCCUCAUUUCUCAAUAAGUUGGCUAUCCUUGUGGGCUGUAAAAAUUUUCUUUGACUCUUACAGACAAACUGUAGACCCCCCCUCUGUUAAUGUACAAUUUGAUUUUUCUACAUUACUUCAUCUGUAUCUGUCGUUCUGAAAGUGGGAAGGAGUGUACACUCCAGCAAGCGAAAUAGAAAUGGGUAGAAAGGAAGAAUGGAGGAUUUGCUAUUUAUCUUCAACUUAAAUCGAUUGGUAAAUAAAGUUAUCCUUUCUGCCACUUUGUAGAGAAUUUUCUUUUUGGUGUACCAUGGUGCUUUUGCUUAUUUUGAUGUUGCUACAGUUGGUGUACCAUGUUCCUUUGCUGAAACAUCUUUCUUGACAACUUGAAAAUGUAUUUGGAAGAUUAACUAUGAUGUCUACUUGUUAUGGCAUCAAGGCUGGUGACUUGCACGAUUAGCAUUAACAAUUGAUAUCAUUGGUCAGUUUUGACUUCCAUUUGAAUUGUUUUUAAUUGUAGUUUUAAAAACUAUCAAAUCUAAAUCAUCAAAUUUAAUCCAAUGGUUCACAAUUAUAGUGGUCUCCCCCCCAACUAAGUUGAGAGAAGGCACCUCCCCAGAACCACAAGUGUUCAUUGGCUUUCGCUUCUCUUUUGAUCUUUUGAUUUUAUUAUAUCUUGUGCUUUCAUAAGGAAUAGAACCAUCAUGAGAUAUUCAGAACAUUUUGGUAGUCUAGAGACGGCAAAGAUGGGUCCUUUUUCAAGGACUCCACAAAUCCCGGAGAGGUUGUGGGAUUGAACCUCAAGGGUGCACGUUCUAUCAAAUCCUUGGGAAUUUGAUCAUUAUGAAGGCUUUAGGAUGGUUGUGCUAUUAGCGUACCCUAUCCUGAGUAAAUUGGGCUCAAGAGGGUUUCACUCUCCUCCCAACUAGGAAAACUUAUGGGGUGAACUUUGAGAAAAGGGAGGGCGAGCACAAGUGUUGGAAAAUUGUAACUGUUUUGGAUCCUUGAAAUUGGUUUUAAAAUGUUGAAAAUUUUUAAAUUUUGCAAAUAUGGGAAAAUUGACCAUUUUGGACAAUUUAAUUUGAAAUGUUAAUGUGGAUCUUUUGCUGCUUGUA